GUGCUCGCUUGGGCAGCACAUAUACUAAAAUUGGAACGAUACAGAGAAGAUUAGCAUGGCCCCUGCGCAAAGUGUGAUUGUAUUCCUGUAUUCAGUGUGUGAAUGUGU
rnacentral:snRNA from 1 species